UGACGAGUGGCGGACGGGUGAGUAAUGUCUGGGAAACUGCCUGAUGGAGGGGGAUAACUACUGGAAACGGUGGCUAAUACCGCAUAACGUCGCAAGACCAAAGAGGGGGACCUUCGGGCCUCUUGCCAUCAGAUGUGCCCAGAUGGGAUUAGCUUGUUGGUGAGGUAACGGCUCACCAAGGCGACGAUCCCUAGCUGGUCUGAGAGGAUGACCAGCCACACUGGAACUGAGACACGGUCCAGACUCCUACGGGAGGCAGCAGUGGGGAAUAUUGCACAAUGGGCGCAAGCCUGAUGCAGCCAUGCCGCGUGUAUGAAGAAGGCCUUCGGGUUGUAAAGUACUUUCAGCGGGGAGGAAGGUGUUGUGGUUAAUAACCGCAGCAAUUGACGUUACCCGCAGAAGAAGCACCGGCUAACUCCGUGCCAGCAGCCGCGGUAAUACGGAGGGUGCAAGCGUUAAUCGGAAUUACUGGGCGUAAAGCGCACGCAGGCGGUCUGUCAAGUCGGAUGUGAAAUCCCCGGGCUCAACCUGGGAACUGCAUUCGAAACUGGCAGGCUUGAGUCUUGUAGAGGGGGGUAGAAUUCCAGGUGUAGCGGUGAAAUGCGUAGAGAUCUGGAGGAAUACCGGUGGCGAAGGCGGCCCCCUGGACAAAGACUGACGCUCAGGUGCGAAAGCGUGGGGAGCAAACAGGAUUAGAUACCCUGGUAGUCCACGCCGUAAACGAUGUCUACUUGGAGGUUGUGCCCUUGAGGCGUGGCUUCCGGAGCUAACGCGUUAAGUAGACCGCCUGGGGAGUACGGCCGCAAGGUUAAAACUCAAAUGAAUUGACGGGGGCCCGCACAAGCGGUGGAGCAUGUGGUUUAAUUCGAUGCAACGCGAAGAACCUUACCUGGUCUUGACAUCCACAGAAGAAUCCAGAGAUGGAUUUGUGCCUUCGGGAACUGUGAGACAGGUGCUGCAUGGCUGUCGUCAGCUCGUGUUGUGAAAUGUUGGGUUAAGUCCCGCAACGAGCGCAACCCUUAUCCUUUGUUGCCAGCGGUUAGGCCGGGAACUCAAAGGAGACUGCCAGUGAUAAACUGGAGGAAGGUGGGGAUGACGUCAAGUCAUCAUGGCCCUUACGACCAGGGCUACACACGUGCUACAAUGGCGCAUACAAAGAGAAGCGACCUCGCGAGAGCAAGCGGACCUCAUAAAGUGCGUCGUAGUCCGGAUUGGAGUCUGCAACUCGACUCCAUGAAGUCGGAAUCGCUAGUAAUCGUGGAUCAGAAUGCCACGGUGAAUACGUUCCCGGGCCUUGUACACACCGCCCGUCACACCAUGGGAGUGGGUUGCAAAAGAAGUAGGUAGCUUAACCUUCGGGAGGGCGCUUACCACUUUGUGAUUCAUGACUGGGGUGAAGUCGUAACAAGGUAACCGUAGGGGAACCUGCGGUUGGAUCACCUCCUUACCUUAAAGAA
rnacentral:rRNA from 1 species